GCUCAUUAGUCAUUUCUUUCAAGGUUCUUGACUGUUCACACGACUAUGAAGUUCCAACAUUUCUUGAUGUUUUGGGUCGACAGAGAGAGCAGCUCGACAAUCUCGCAAUGCACCCAUAACAUCACCUAUAUGCUCAUGAAAAGCAGCUCGCAGGUGUAAAAGAUGAAGAUCGGCUUUAAAUGCAAUGGCCCUCGAAAGUUCUUCAAUGGCUUCCUUGUCCUUGUGGUUGUCCAUCAGAACUAUCACCAAUUAACAAUCGUUUAUCAAAAGAUUCUAU
rnacentral:misc_RNA from 1 species